CGCGCUACACUGACAGAGCCAGCGAGUUUUUUUCCUUGGCCGGAAGGUCUGGGUAAUCUUGUGAAACUCUGUCGUGCUGGGGAUAGAGCAUUGCAAUUAUUGCUCUUCAACGAGGAAUUCCUAGUAAGCGUGAGUCAUCAGCUCGCGUUGAUUACGUCCCUGCCCUUUGUACACACCGCCCGUCGUUACUACCGAUUGAAUGGCUUAGUGAGGUCUUGGGAUCGGCUUCGGGGAGUCGGCAACGACACCCUGUCGCUGAAAACUUGAUCAAACUUGGUCAUUUAGAGGAAGUACAAGUCGUAACAAGGUUUCCGUAGGUGAACCUGCGGAAGGAUCAUU
rnacentral:rRNA from 2 species